UACGAAGGGUGCAAACGUUGCUCGGAAUUAUUGGGCGUAAAGCGCACGUAGGCGGCUUUGCAAGUCCCAUGUGAAAUCCCACGGCUCAACCGUGGAAGUGCAUGGGAAACUGCAGAGCUUGAGUACUUAAGAGGAUCGCGGAAUUCCCGGUGUAGAGGUGAAAUUCGUAGAUAUCGGGAGGAACACCAGUGGCGAAGGCGGCGUCUGGGAAGAUACUGACGCUGAGGUGCGAAAAGCGUGGGGGAGCAAACAGG
rnacentral:rRNA from 1 species